CUUGCCACUGUGCCACCAUGCAGCCCCGGAGCACUGUGCCAGCCUCCACUGCUGCAUCUGCUCUCCUGCCCCGAGCAAGGCCCCCGAGCUGGAGCAGCCCCACCACCACCCAUCAGCAGCAUUUGCCACUUUGAAUGUUUGUGAAGAGGAAAUAACAGACAGAAACCACAGCAGGCAAAGCAUUGGAGAACUCACUUGUGCUCAUGCAAAUGUGGUGAGAGUGGCAGUCUGGGCUCAGACAGCUUCUGGGCGAUAUCAAACCUCCAGUUGUUUCUAGCAGUGAGGACCCCGAGCAGCAGGACCUGAGGGUGGGGAGGUGCUCCAGGCACGUGUCACCAGCCCUUCCCACACUGGAGCCAGAGGCGUGAGGGCGCCGGAGCCGUCUGGAGCUGCCGGCCGGCUGGAGCAAAGGCUCGGCGGAAGGGGAAU